GAAACGCGAUAUGAAUUGUGAAUUGCAGAAACCCCGUGAAUCAUCGUAUCUUUGAACGCAUCUUGCGCCCAUUGGUAUUCCGAUGGGCAUGUCUGUUUGAGUGUCGCGUACCCCUCAACCCCCGAUCUUGUUUGAUCGCGCGGGCUUGGACCGUGGCCGCACCGGCCGGCGCAACUGAACGUCUGGCCCGGCCGAAAUGCAUGCGAAGCGCCUUUACAUCUGUGCGCCGCGACGACCCAGCGUUGUAGACACCUCGCUAGAUCCGAGUCGGUACGACAGAGGCUUCAGCUCGAAUCUUAACGACCUCAAAUCAGAUAGGACUACCCGCUGAACUUAA
rnacentral:misc_RNA from 1 species